CAGAUUCUUGGUGGACAGCUCUCAUAUCCCCUCCAGGGAAAAUGAUGAAAAAUGUCUUCAGAAAAAUAGCUUUAUGAAGGCAAGAGGACUUUUUGCACCUGCAAGACAUGUCUGAAAGCUCCACAGGUCAAAACACAAGUAGUCAAGAGAUUUGUCCAUCUAAUUCAUCAUACUACUCUGAUCCAAGUGAGACCCACACUGGGUCAGCUCCAUCAAGGAGAAGAACAUUCCACCCACGUUUGGAUUCUGGAAUAUCAUCCUUGCUUCCAUCAGAUUCUUGUAAGUACCUCACUUGGCACAAGAUAGAACAACAUGGCGUUCAAGAAAGUCAACUGCGUUGCCCAAGAGUAAGAGAAGGACCCUCUGAAGAAGAGCAACUUUUCAGACAGGUAGAGUGUGCCUUGCUCCCAAGGAAAAGAGUUCUUGAAAAAAACAAAUGGGAAACAUGGCUACAAGAAAACUGGGAAGACUGCAAGAAAUUGAUGGCAAAAUAUGGAAAUAAAAAAAUUAAGUUGACUUUUAGGAAUGCAGUUUACAAGAGCAAUGCGACCACUGAGAGUGGUAGCAAUGUGUUUUACACCAAAGUUGACUGAUAUUAAAAGUGAAAAUAAAAUAUUCAGUAUCUUUGAAGCA
rnacentral:sRNA from 1 species